CGUGUACUGAGCCAUCGGGCCCGAGGCAUGGCAGCCCACAGCAGGGCCCAUUGAACAUAGCUGCCAAGUAUGUGUGGUACAGAGCUUCUAAAACACCUCCCCCGAGAAGAUGAAAGCUACAGAUUUUGACAUCGAUGAGCCCAGAGUGGUUGUUGUCUUGUUUUAAGAUGGUACAGUGCCUGGAAUUUGCUGAAGACAGCUCAAUGGUGCCCCCUGAAGGCCAAUAUGGAGAGGUACAGGAAAAACGGAUAAAGACAGGAGCCUUGCCAGUGUGCCAACCAAGAUAAAAGUCAACACCCAUUCCACAAAACAGGGGUCAGCACGAGCAAGCAG